rnacentral:rRNA from 1 species
UACGUAGGGGGCAAGCGUUGUCCGGAAUCAUUGGGCGUAAAGCGCGUGUAGGCGGUUCGGUAAGUCUGCUGUGAAAGUCCAGGGCUCAACCCUGGGAUGCCGGUGGAUACUGUCGGACUAGAGUACGGAAGAGGCGAGUGGAAUUCCCGGUGUAGCGGUGAAAUGCGCAGAUAUCAGGAGGAACACCAAUGGCGAAGGCAGCUCGCUGGGACGGUACUGACGCUGAGACGCGAAAGCUAGGGGAGCAAACGGG